AUUGAACGCUGGCGGCAUGCUUUACACAUGCAAGUCGAACGGUAACAGGCCUUCGGGUGCUGACGAGUGGCGAACGGGUGAGUAAUGCAUCGGAACGUACCCAGAGGUGGGGGAUAACGCAGCGAAAGCUGUGCUAAUACCGCAUGUGAUCUGAGGAUGAAAGCGGGGGACCGAGCAGCAAUGUUUGGCCUCGCGCCUUUGGAGCGGCCGAUGUCGGAUUAGCUAGUUGGUGGGGUAAAGGCCUACCAAGGCGACGAUCCGUAGCUGGUCUGAGAGGACGACCAGCCAUACUGGGACUGAGACACGGCCCAGACUCCUACGGGAGGCAGCAGUGGGGAAUUUUGGACAAUGGGCGCAAGCCUGAUCCAGCAAUGCCGCGUGCGGGAAGAAGGCCUUCGGGUUGUAAACCGCUUUUGGCAGGAACGAAACGGUGUCCGCUAAUACCGGGCGCUAAUGACGGUACCUGCAGAAUAAGCACCGGCUAACUACGUG
rnacentral:rRNA from 1 species